CCCUGUUCAGCCACACCAUUCCCGCUAUGGCUCGAGCACUCGAAGCCCUUAUUCCCAAUCAUCCGGUCACCGGAAUCCCAUAUUUCCGGCAUAUGAUUCAGAUUUCCUCACCGGAUUUCCCCCCUUUUCCCCGUCGCAAGGCCAAUGUAGCACCUCUUCUCUGGGAGCUCCGUUCACUUCACAGAAUCCGCAGUAUUAGAGCAAGUGCGAAGUCCCUUGAGGGAAAUGAAGAAGGAGAAGGAGAAGGAGAAGGAGAAGGAGAAGGAGAAAAACGGCUUGCAGAAGUUGCAAGUCCAAAUUGGACCAAAUCAUUAACUAAGAUUGCUUCUGAUAAUUUUCUACCUUUAGCUCUUAUAUGUGGAGUAUUAUUGGGACUUGCAAAUCCUGGUCCCGGUUGUCUUGCUGAUAAGCUUUAUGUGUCAAAAAUUAGUACUUUCGGGAUAUUUGUAAUUUCAGGACUGACGUUGCGCAGUGAUGAAAUUGGCGCCGCUACUGAAGCAUGGCCAGUUGGACUGUUUGGGCUGGCUUCAAUUUUAUUUUUGACUCCCUUGUUCUCGAAGAUCAUAUUGAUGCUCAAUCUCCAGCCACAGGAAUUUGUUACAGGACUUGCUAUAUUUAGCUGUAUGCCUACAACUUUAUCUAGUGGAGUGGCUUUGACACGGCUAGCUGGAGGGAACUCUGCUCUUGCACUUGCAAUGACCUUGGUAUCAAAUUUAUUGGGAAUUCUAAUUAUACCUUAUACUAUCUCAAAAUUCAUAGCUGCUGGAGUUGGGGUAGCUAUUCCAACUGAACAGUUGUUAAGAAGCCUUGUUCUCACGCUUUUAGUUCCUCUCAUCUUGGGAAAGGUUGCUCGAGAACUCUCAAAAGGUAUAGCAGACUUUGCAGAUGGAAACCGUAAGCUUUUGGCAGUGAUCAGCGCAAUUUUCCUUAGUUCUGCUCCUUGGAUUCAAGUCAGCAGAUCGAGGUCCCUACUUUUGAUGGUAAAGCCUGAAGUUUUCCUCGUAGCUGUUGUCCUGGGAGUGAUUCUUCACCUUGCCUUAUUUUCUUUUAAUGCUUUGUUAAUUCCGAGUCUUUCACUUAUAACUGGAGGUAGUAAGUCGCCUUUCGCCAAGAAAGAAAAUACCAGUGCUCUUCUAUUAGUAGCCAGCCAGAAAACCUUGCCGGUGAUGAUAGCAGUUGUUGAGCAGCUUGGUGGUGCCUUAGGUGCAUCUGGCUUACUAGUCCUUCCAUGUGUGGCAGCCCACCUUAACCAGAGACUCAAGAUUCUUCGCAUUUCUUACAACCACUUGUAUGGGGAAAUAGCUUCUGAGUUUAGAGCAAUGUUCUCAGCUUGAGUUUAUUUCUUUGUACAACAACUUCAGUGGAUUUGUUGCAAAAGAAACUGGGAACUUGACGAAGCUUCAAAAUUGUAGCUUGAUGCAAAUAAGUUGACAGGUCAUGGCUUGUUGAUAGUUGAAGUCUCGCGCGGAAGGUGAUCAAUGCAGGUAUCCCUGCUUCUUGUUGGAUCAAGGAUUGUGGGGCGAAUACCUGAUGCCCCAAGUGCCACCAUCUGAUAGACAACAGUGAUAUUUCACAUGAAUGGCCAGGCUUUCCUGCUGGUGUGAAAUUUGAUCCAUCCGAUGCAGAGCUGCUGGAUCAUUUGGCUGCAAAACGAGGCGUGGGGAAAUCGGAGCCCCACUUGUUCAUCGAUGAGUUCAUCCCAACUUUGGAAGGCGAAGGGGGGAUAUGUUACAGUCAUCUGCAAAAUCUCCCCGGGGCCAAGAUGGAUGGAAGCAGUACUCAUUACUUCUAUAGAAUUUCCAACGCAUACGCUAGUGGCAGGAGGAAGUGCUGUAGAUGUAACGCCCGUACUUUUUAUAGUACUUGGCGCGCAUAAAAUUGAGGAACGGUCGAGGAAUUUAUAUUUGGAACAA